ACACAAAUGUGCAACACUUGCCACGACAUAUGGCUUGCUGGCUGCUCUCAGUCUUGGCUGGUACUUCCAGAUCCCAGUAACAGGCAAACAGCAAGCAGUAACAAACUGAGAAAUGACCCCUGCUCCAGUGAUCUCUUUGCACUCCGUCAGCAAAGAAAACAAACAUGUCAAGGACCUAAGACUUAAGAAACACUUACCAUCUGGCAACGUGAAAGCAAGAAGGAAGCAAAAAAAAAAAAAAAAAAAAAAGUAGUUGCACUCAGCCUGACAAAAGCUGCCUAACAAGGACUGUUUUCAGUGAGAUGAGAACUGUAAGCACGCAUUCUACGCCGGCUUCAUAAGCGUGAGGAACACACAGAUUUAUUUCUCUUAGGCAGCCCUCAUGGCACCCAGGGUCCUGAAGAGAGCAAUGAGGUCUCCCCUCAGCUUUGUCUUCUCCAGACUGGACAGCUGAAGCCCAACCUUAAGACAGGACAUGUCUUCUAACCCUGUUACUGCCUCUGCUGUCCUCCCCCGGAUACUUUCAAGGACCUUAACAACCUUUUAUAUUGUGGAUACCAGAAAUACAUGAAAUAUUCAAGGUGAGGUCACGCCAACACGAAAUAUAAUGGGACAAUCACCUCUAUUGACCAGCUGUCUGUGCAGUGUUUAAUGCACUCCAGAAUACGGUUUGCCUUUUUGGCUGCCAGGGAACACUGCUGGCUCAUGUUGAGCAUGCUGUCACCAGCACACCCAGCCCGUUUCUGCACAGCUACACUCCAGCCACUCAUCUUUCAAUCUGUACCUGUGUCUAGCAUUACUCUGUGCCAGGUGCAGCACCUGGCUCUUUCUUCUGUUGAAUUCCAUGCUGUUCAUGAUUUCCCAGUUCUCCAGUGUACAAAGACAGCCUCUGCAAAGCCUCUCAUUCAAAGAGUCAGCAGCACCUCCCAGUUUAGUAUCAUUGGCAACCUUACUUAGCAUGCAUUGAACUCCCAAUCACUGAUAAAAGUGUUGAAAAGAACCAGCCUUAAAACUGAGCCCUAGAGAACACUGCUAGUGACUGCCCAUAAGCCAGAUGUAGCUUCACAGAAUCACAGAAUCACAGAAUGGCCUGGGUUGGAAGAGACCUCAAGGAUCAUGAAUCUCCAACCCCCCUGCCAGGCAGGGCCACCAACCUCCCCAUUUACUUGACCAGGUUGCCCAGGGCCUUAUCCAACUUGGUCUUGAACACCUUCAGGGACGGGGCAUCCACAACCUCUCUGGGCAGCCCAUUCCAGCACCUCACCACUCUCCUGGUAAAGAACUUCCCCCUGACAUCCAACCUAAAUCUUCCCUCUUUCAACUUAAAACCGUUCCCCCUUGUCCUGCUGUUAUCUACCCUUUCAAAGAGUUUACUCCCUUCCUGCUUCAUACGCUACAGCCCUUGGAGUUCUACUGUUCAGUCACUUCAGCCACUAGUAUAACACAAAACCCUUCAUCUCACAGUUGGACAACUUGUCCAGAAGGAUAUAACCCUCCUCUUAUGAAUUGUCCAGUCUUUUCACAGGGAUUGUUUGCACAAGCACCUUUUCCAUUUUUCAUGACUUCAGAUUAUUUUUAAGUUGUAGAGGAAUCCUUCAGCAGCAAGUUGGAAAGCAGUGAUAAGAAAGGCUGCAGUGAUCUGUAAUCAUGAAUCAACACAGUUGACAAUGUGUACAGUUAGCUGAUUCUAUUAUUCUCUUGUUAAAAUGAAAAUGAACAUUGUAGAUGCUCUUUUGAGAUUCAAAGAUUGAUUGAAAUAAAAAUGUAAAGGAAAAUGUCUUGUUGAAAUAAAUAAAAUAAUGAUUUC
ensembl:lncRNA